AAUUACUAAAAUGUAACCCACCCCACAUCCAGGAGCACUUCCAUUCCAAUUGUACAGCACUCUGUUCUGGAAUGGAACUAGCUAGAAAUUGAAGGCAUAUGGGAGGUGUAUUGAAAUGAAAAUAACAAUAGCAUCGUGGAGGUCUUAAGUCCUACCACCAGACAACCAAAAUGUGGUUAUUUGAAAAAUCCUACAAAGUUAUAAAACUUAUUUUCAUGAUUCAUUUAGACUAUAUGUCAAUAUAAAAAUAACUUCCCAAAGCAAUUUCCAUCUUUGUUAUACUCACACUACCUUGAAGAACACUCUUUGGUGAGAAGUUCAAUCCUUGAGAUGUGACACCUUUGGCAUUUUUUAUGUUUCUGUUGUUGCCUCCAUCGAUCAGAUUCUUCAGACCAACAUUGUCGCUACAAUUGACAUUCCUAUCAGCAAUACUGUUAGUCUUGUGACUGUUGCUACUUCCACCCUUGUUAGUUCCCACAGUUGCUGUGGUAAUGGUCGUCCGUGGGAACACAGCUGUUGAUCAUGAUUGCAUUGGCAUUUAUACAGCCAGCAAUGCCCCUAAGGUUCAAGCUCGUACUAAUGCCUUUCUAGCAACUAACCACAAUAACAGCUUUGGUUGUACAACCAAUGAUUUUGGCAUCAACACUAUUGCAUGCGUUGCCAUAGUUUUUAUGGCUUUUAUGAGUGCCAUUUGAGAGAACUGCAGUGGUUGAAGUGCAAUCACUGGUGUUUGGAUUCUGCGAAGUCUUGCUUGAAUUUUUCAGUGGUGUUGCAUUAGAAGCAGUGAUCGUUUGGGAAGCUUCCACAGGCUUUCUUGAACACUGACGGCCUCCGUGCUUAUGCUGCUCACAAUACUUCUGACCAGAAACCACAUUUUUCUUACACCUCCAUUUCUUCCCAACAGAUCUUCUACACCUCCCUGGUUCUGGGUCCAUCUUAUUUAUAUCAAAUUCCUGAGGAAGCUUGGAUAUAAUCUACAGAUUCCACCAUUAACGAAGCCAAAAGAUGAAGACACGCUCUUCCAAAAGGGAAGUACUUGUACAGGAAGUCCAGCUGCUGAGUACUUGUAUAUAAUCAGUUGUCGCUGAAGCUCACACAGCUGUGCCUCUGUUAGCAGAGCCUUCCCAUGUCUGAUCACGGGGCCACGAUCAUCAUCGCCAAUCCCAAUACAAACCUUCAUCGAUGAUGAUGCUGCUCCUUCCCUUACCUGAUGAUCAUCACCCUUCUUUACUUCAGUCACCAGCGUCCGUACUUUAUCAUCACUAUUACGGGGCCACCUGUAUGGAAGAUGAA
rnacentral:misc_RNA from 1 species